UUUCUCAAGUCUCGGUGAAGGUUCGAUGAUGAAGCUUCUUCGUUCAAGAUCAAAUCCAUGGCGUGGAUAUGCCAUUUCUAGGGUUUUUGGUGCACUAUUCUACUCCACUAAGGUGCUGCCUUCCUCCUAAUCACCCCCAUUUGAGCUUCUGCACAGUAGGAUUUGGCAGAUUCGAAACCCUGGGGAUUCCAUUCUGCCAAUGCUCCAUCAAUGGCGGGUAGAAGGGGGAGACGUGAAGCAGCCCAAGCUCCAAGAUUUCAUCAAGCGGCUCCGAGGGUAUCGUCGCUACUGCCAUGCUCUGCAGAUUUCAGAGUGGAUGAGCGAAGCAUGAUCUGCAUCCUGGAGACAUUGCGGUGCGGUUAGAUUUGACCUCAAAAGUCCAUGGGCUUGAAGAAGCCGAGAGGUAUUUUGAUAGCAUCCCAGAGUCAUUAAAAGUGGUUCCUGUGUAUGGUGCUCUGCUGUACUGCUAUGCAAAGCAUAAUUGUUUGGAAAAGUCUGACAGUGUUUUUGAAAAGAUGAAGGAGUUGGGUUUUUUGAAAGGAUCAUUCUGUUAUAAUACAAUGUUAAACCUUUAUUCUCAAAUGGGUAAACAUGGAAAGGUAGAUAUUUUAGUUAAAGAGAUGGCAGAGAAAGGCAUUGAUUAUAACAUGAACACAUUGAACAUUCGGUUAUAUUCGUAUGCAGCCACUUCGGAUGUAGACCGAAUGGAGAAGCUUUUGAUGAAGAUGGAAACUGAUCCUCUGGUCACUUUGGACUGGCAUGGUUAUGCUGCCGCAGCGGAUGCGUUCUUGAAAGCUGGACAAUUGGAGAAGACAGCGGCAUUGCUGAGGAAAUCAGAGCAACUCAUUAACAGUGAAACAAGGAAAAUUGGUUAUGAACACCUGAUGACUUCAUAUGCUGCUAUUGGUAGUCAACACGAGGUUUAUCGAAUUUGGGAAUUGUACAAGAACAUGGUAGGGUUCUACAAUAACGGGUAUCGGUGUAUGUUAAGUUCAUUGUUGAAGAUGGAUGACAUUGAUGGUGCUGAGAAGAUUGUGGAGGAAUGGGAAUCUGGGAACAAAUUCUUUAACAUUCAAAUACCCAACUUGUUGAUCAAAGCUUACUGCAGGAAAGGUCUUUUGGAGAAGGCCAAAUCAUAUGUGAAGAAGCUUUCAGAGGGUGGAAAGGAGUGUUGUCGCGCAUGGGCUCUUUUGGCUACCACAUAUCAUAUGAAUGAUCGGAUGGAAGAGGCAGUGGAAACAUUGAAAAUGGCAGCAAGCUCGGCAUCUCGACCAGGAUGGAAGUUUGAUAAUUCAACUUUGGCUGCUUGCUUUGAGUACUUAAAAGAGAAGGGAGAUGUUGAAGAAGCACAUGAAUUGCUGAUAUUAUUCAGAAAAAGGGGUCAUUUUACAACAGAUUUAUGUGAUAAAAUUAGUAACACUUAUACGUCUCUUGCCUCAAAUCCAUGGUGUGGCCAUGCCAUUUCUAGGGUUUUAGGCGCACUAUUGUACUCAACCGAGGCCCUGGCCUCCUCCACCAUCUCCUCCUCACCCCCAUUUCAGUCCCUGUACUGUAGGAUUUUGUCGGUUGGAAAUCGAAAUCCUAGUGUUUCCGUUGUGCCAAUGCUGGAUCAGUGGGUCAAAGAAGGGAGACAAUUGAAGCAAUCAGAUAUCAAAGAUUUCAUCAAGCAGCUCGGUAAUUCCCGUCGCCAUUGCCAAGCACUCGAGGUUUCAGAAUGGAUGAGUGAUGUGAUGAAGCACGAUCUGUCUCCUGGAGAUAUUGCUGUUCGGCUAGAAUUGAUCUCCAAAGUCCGUGGUCUGCAACAAGCUGAGAGGUAUUUCGAUAGCAUCCCAUACCCAUUUAGAGUAGUGUAUGGUUCUCUCUUAUACUGCUAUACACGUCGUAAAUCUGUGUAGCAGGCUGACAUUACUUUCGGAAAGAUGAAAGAGUUGGGUUUUGCGAAAGGAUUUUCGGAUUAUAAUGAAAUGGUAUCCCUCUAUUUUCGAACUGGUGAAUAUGAAAAACCACACGUUCUAGUCGAAGAGAUGGAAGAAAAAAACAUUGUUUAUGACAUUCACACAUUGAAACUUAGGAUGUUAAUGUUAUCGUAUGCAGCCACUGGUGACUUCGACCAAAUGGAAAUGGUUUUGGUGAAGAUGGAAGCUGAUCCUCUGGUCACCAUGGACUGGCGUGGUUAUUUUGUUGCAGCGAAAGCGUGCUUGAAGGCUGGACUGUUGGAGAGGACAUCGACAUUUCUGAGGAGAUCGGAGCAACUGAUUGACAAUGACUCAAGGAAAAUUGGUUAUGAACGCCUGAUGACUUCAUAUGCUGCUAUUGGUAAAAAAGAUGAGGUUUAUCGGAUUUGGGAUUUGCACAAAAACACCGUAGGAUUCUACAAUAAUGGGUAUGGAUGUAUGGUGAAUUCGUUAGUGAAGCUGGGUGACAUUGACGGUGCUGAGAAGAUUGUGCAGGAAUGGGAAUCUGGGGUCAAAUCAUAUGUGACAUUAGAGUACCCAACUUGCUGGUCACUGCUUACUGCAGGCAAGGUCUGUUUGAGAAGGCCAAAUCAUAUGUAGAGAAGCUUAUGGAGAGCGGAAAGGGGAAUGCAAGCGCAUUUCUUGUUUUGGCUACGGAAUAUCAUAUGAAUGGUCACAUGGGAGAGGCAGUGGAAGCAAUGAAAAACGCAGCAAAAAUGUCACGUCGACCAGGACGGAAGUUUAACCAUUCGACUUUGUAUGCAUGUCUUAAUGACUUGACAGAAGGGAGAUGAGAUAUCAGCACAUGAGAUUUUGAGAUUAUUGGGAAAAAAGGGUAAUUUACCAACAGCUUUCUUUGUGCUGCACUCUUGGACUUCAUCCCCAAAGAGCUUGGUGGACAUCCCAGGUAGCUUGGGUUGGCCAAUUGUGGGAGAAAGCUUCUCAUUUAUAUCAGAGUUUUCAAGUCCAUCUGGUAUUUACAGCUUCGUGAACAAGAGGCAGCAGAGGUAUGGGAAAGUGUUCAAGACUAGCGUGUUGGGUAGAUUCACUGUGUUCAUGACUGGGAGGGAAGCAAGCAAGAUGUUGUUAGCAGGAAAAGAUGGGAUGGUGAGCUUAAACCUCUUCUACACAGGGCAGCAGGUGCUAGGGCCUACCAGCUUGCUCCAAACCACUGGAGAAGAACACAAGCGGCUUAGACGGUUGAUUGCAGAGCCCCUAUCAGUUGAUGGCCUUAAAAAAUAUUUUCAGUUUAUCAAUACUCUUGCAAUUGAGACAUUAGAACAGUGGCCCGGACGAACAGUUUUGGUUCUUGAAGAAGCUUCUACAUUCACUCUCAAAGUUAUCGGCAACAUGAUAAUGAGCUUGGAGCCUGCUGGUGAAGAGCAGGAGAAGUUUAGAUCCAAUUUUAAACUCAUCUCUUCCUCCUUUGCAUCCUUGCCAUUUAAAAUCCCGGGAACAGCUUUCCAUUGUGGUAUUCAGGCUCGAGAUAGGAUGUAUGCAAUGUUGGACUCAGUCAUUUCUAAAAGGAGAAGUGGAGGAGGCUUCCAAAAAGAUUUCUUAGAAUCACUGAUAAUGAAACAUAGCAAAGCAGCAGGGGAUGAAGAUGAUAAAGAUAAACUCACUGAUAAACAAUUGAAGGACAACAUAUUAACUCUGUUGGUUGCAGGUCAUGAUACUACAACUGCUGCUCUCACAUGGCUUAUUAAAUUCCUUGGAGAAAACCCUUCUGUUCUGGAACAACUAAGAGAUGAGCAUCGACAAAUUCAAUCAAACCGGGAAAAUGGAGCAAAUCUAACAUGGGAUGAAGUUAACAACAUGCCUUACACCGCCAAAGUAAUCAAUGAAACUCUUAGAAGAGCCACUAUAUUACCUUGGAAUUCAAGAAAAGCUGCCCAGAAUUUCGAGAUUGAUGGAUACAAAAUAGAGAAAGGCUGGUCUGUUAACUUGGAUGUUGUCUCCAUUCACCAUGACCCAGAAGUCUUUCCCAAUCCUCAAAAGUUUGAUCCCUCUAGGUUUGAUGCACCCCUAAAGCCUUUUAGCUUUCUUGGAUUUGGUAGCGGACAGCGAAUGUGCCCCGGAAUCAACCUGGCCAAGCUCGAGAUCUCAGUAUUCAUUCAUCACCUGGUCUGCAGAUACAAGUGGAUCCCUCUGGAGAAAGACGACUCGGUCCAGCCAACUCUUGUAAGGAUGCCGAAAAACAAGUAUCCGAUUGUAGUUGAGUCACUUUGAGACAUUUACGUUGAAGAAAAUCCCAAGGCACCGAUAAGAAUAAAAGUUACUAGAUUAAUCCUAGCUUGUCUUUGUGUAAUUUUGCUGCUUAUUGGUAUUGGGCAUGUCUUGCUCAAAUGCUACAAGUUGUCUACUUCUAUCAUGGAUGCAUAAGAUCGAUCUGUUUCAACUUACCCAAGUAGUGUAUAAGAAUACUACAUAAAAUUGAGAGAAGAAUCUAGAUUCUACUCACAUUUUGCAUCUAUUUAUAACCAUAAA